CUGGAUGAAGGAGGCUGGAAUGCGGGGGCUUGUUGGAGAGGAAGACCCCUGGGUGCUGCAUGGUGGGGACCACAGACCUGGGCUUUGGAGACUUGGCACUGGUCUCGACUCUUUCCCAGAGUUACCAGCUCUGUGACUUGGGUAAGUUAUCGAUGUGUCAGCCUCAGUUUCCUUCAUCUAUGAAAUGGGGACAGCAGUGCCCACCUGCUAGGGUUGUUUUAGGGACCAAAUGAGACAGUCCAGCUGGGUACCUGCAUGGGCUAGUUGUUUGAUAAACACCUUUUCCUCUUUUACGGUCCUCGACCACAGUUAUGGGAAAGUCCCUGCAGAGCAGGGCCUGCAAACCACACCCUCAAGCCAGAUGAAGUUCACGGAUGGAUGUAGGAGGUCUUAUUGGGGCGCAGCCAGCCCUCCCAGUUACAAUUGCCCUGGCGCUGCUGUGCCACAGGGGUGCCGUGGCCUGGGAGGCCUCAACUGUUACUACCUGUCCCUUGAAAGAAGAGUCGGCCACCCCUUGUAUGUGGAGGACACAUCCUCCCAGGUCUCUCUGCAUUUCAUUGAUACCUGCAGAGAAGGGGACCCCAACUUCAGUGCUCAGGGGUCUUGGCUGGUGCCGCCAGCGCACAGUUUGCUUUGCAAACACUUCUGUAGGUGAGAUACUUGUGCCCAGCUCUCUUGAAACACGGGUCUUCUACAUCUUCCAGCUUCUGUGUUUGUUUCCAUGUUUGGUAGAGAUUGAGCACUGAGGGAUUUAUUUAUUCACUAACACACCGUUGAAGGUGUGCUGUGUACUUUGUGUGUACUCUGAACGAGGCUUUAAAUUCUUAGGAUUCUAACGAAUUUACAGUUAAGUAGUCACAUGUGACCAGUGGCUGUCCUUUUGGACGGCACAGCUCUAUCACAUAUGCUUGAAAAAAAUCUGCCCCUAAAUCCCUCCUUUGUGAUUUUUGCCAAAAUCAAGAUGU
rnacentral:lncRNA from 1 species